rnacentral:rRNA from 1 species
AGCGAACGCUGGCGGCAUGCUUAACACAUGCAAGUCGCGCGGGUGGUUUCGGCCAUCAGCGGCGGACGGGUGAGUAUCGCGGAGUAAUGUAUCCCGAGGUGGGGGACAACCCUGGGAAACUGGGGCUAAUACCGCAUGGGGCCUGUGGGUCAAAGCCUUAGAGCGCCUUGGUAGCAGCCUGCGUCCGAUUAUUUAGUUGGUAGGGUAAAGGCAUACCAAUCCUGCGAUCGGUAGCUGGGCUGAGAGGAAGAUCAGACACACCGGGACUGAGACACGGCACAGACUCCUACGGGAGGGAGGAGUGGGGAAUAUUGGAACAUGGGCGCAAGCCUGAUCCAGCAAUGCCGCGUGGGUGAAGAAGGUAUUCGGAUUGUAAAGCCUUUUUGGCGGGGAAGAUGAUGACGGUACCCGAAGAAGAAGCCCCGGCUAACUUCGUG